GUAAAAGACAACUAUAACAGGGUGUACAGUGCUGUUUCUGAAAUUGACGAAUCCUCUUGUGAUGAAGAUUGAAGAAGCUAUUGCCAUCCAAGUGGAAAAAGUCCCGCCUUUGUCACCCUCGGCCUCCUCGAAUAGAACUAAGAAAAUGUGGAGACUUUCUUCAUUUAGUUCCCAAUCAAGUGGACCAGAUGUUGAUUUGUUUGAAAUGGACUGAGACUUGUGUUUCAUAUGCCAGGUUGAACAGACGUUAGAAACGAAAAAGGAUAGUCUGAUUCAAGGAAAAGAUAAAAGUUUCUUCGUCGAUUUCGCAACAUACUAUCUGUGGACAUCUACAGAAAUCGUCAGGAUCUGUGCAACAUCGAUGUUAAUCCUGAUUCGCACAUGAACAAGUGCCCUGUUCUUAACCCUGAGAGUCUCGGAAAAUAUCUCUAUAGCAAGCUAGGUAGAUAUCACAAAACGUGUCGUUUGAGGUACAGCAACUCGAGGGUGAAACAAUUGAAGGGUAAAU